AUAUAUCAUCUGAAUGAAAAAAUGUAUUUUUUUUAUUUAAUUAAAAAAUACAUUAAAGUAGUAUUCUGUUUUUUUCCUUUCUUUUUUUUUUAAGAAUACCAUUCAUAUUACUUUGAAACUAGAAAAAGCAACGUAAAAACAAGUUUAUUCAAGUGUUUCAAAUCUCAUCCGAAAAGGUGGUGUACUAAAUCCAAACGAAACGGGAAUUCGGUAUUUUCUCUACCGGUUCGUCGUGGAUCGCGAAUAUACUUGAAUACACUCGAGUAUACAUGGUCGUGCUUUAGAGGACCAACAAAACAAACGGCAUUUCUCGUCGAGCUACGAAAAUAGCUUCUCGAUGAUUCCUCGAAAACUUCGGAACGCCGUCACGAGACACGGUGAUGUACCUAACCUGGCCUGCCGGUGUACAUACCUUGGACGCUUUUGAUGCGCGUGUCUCCAGGAAGGGUGAGAAGAAAAAAGUGCCGACGGUGUGGGGUCGCCGUCCCCGUGUCGACAAAGUUCCUUUCGUAUCGUUAUAUCACAUACGCGAUGUCAUCGGGAUAACUGCUGUUCUGAGAAAGUCGUCUAAGUAGCGAUGCAACGACACUUCUCGUGGCACUCGAGUGGCUAUUGCUACUCUGAACACGGGACAAAACUGUCAAGAAAACUAAAGGCGUCGAUUCUAUGAAUUGUUACAACAAAUACAAUUUAUCCGAAUAUAAUUUUCACACGAAUAUAUAAUAAUAUUGAGCCUGCUUCGAAUGAAAGUUACUAAAUUUUACCCAACACGAGAAUCUUGCAGUAAACAAACUCAAUGCAAUCUCGACGUAUUGUGCAUCACGAGCCUCGCGGCCAUCACUAAUUUCAACUGGCACUGUUAGUGGCGCCAUCGUCUCUUUAGACGGAAGAACAAGGAACUGGACCAUUGCGCGCGCGAUAGUCGCGAAUAAUGGCGAAAUAUGGGUAUACCUGGGCGACCUUGUGGACCAGGUGAUCCAGGACGACCUGGACGGCCUCGGCCAGGUGGACCAGGUGGACCUUGUAUCUGUGCUGCCAUCUCAGUCAUCUGCUCUAUAUACGUACAGCCGCAAUAAAAGGAAUAGUUAUCUUUCUACUUUUGUUUUACGUAAACAUUAUACAAAGCCCAGCUCACAUUAUGUAAAAAUAUUUUUAUUAUUUCAACAUUUUUAUAUUUUAUACUUUUGUCAUUAUUUUGACAUUUCUUAUAUAGACAAUCAAAUUCUUUAUGAAUUGUACCUAUAAUUAUUCAAUUUUAUUAUUUUAGAUAAUGAUAAUGAUAAUUUCCACCUUUUAUUCUAUUUUAAUAAAAUAUCACUAAUAAAAUAAAUAAAUAGAGUAA